AAGUCGUAACAAGGCUCCCGUAGGUGAACCUGCGGAGGGGAUCAUUAAAAGAGGCCGAGCGCGGGAAAAACCGGCCGGCAAACCCUCCCAACCCUUUGUGUGCGAAACGCGUUGCCUCGGGGGUGCGAGCGCGCCCCCGGGGGACCCACUCAAACGCUGCAUCUUUGCGUCUAGUAUUUAUCAAAUAAAUCAAAAA
rnacentral:misc_RNA from 1 species